CCUACGGGAGGCAGCAGUGAGGAAUAUUGGUCAAUGGACGCAAGUCUGAACCAGCCAUGCCGCGUGCAGGAAGACGGCUCUAUGAGUUGUAAACUGCUUUUGUACGAGGGUAAACGCAGAUACGCGUAUCUGUCUGAAAGUAUCGUACGAAUAAGGAUCGGCUAACUCCGUGCCAGCAGCCGCGGUAAUCCGGAGGAUUCAAGCGUUAUCCGGAUUUAUUGGGGUUAAAGGGUGCGUAGGCGGUCGGAUAAGUUAGAGGUGAAAUCCCGAGGCUCAACUUCGGAAUUGCCUCUGAUACUGUUCGGCGAGAGAGUAGUUGCGGUAGGCGGAAUGUAUGGUGUAGCGGUGAAAUGCUUAGAGAUCAUACAGAACACCGAUUGCGAAGGCAGCUUACCAAGCUACUUCUGACGUUGAGGCACGAAAGCGUGGGGAGCAAACAGGAUUAGAUACCCGAGUAGUC
rnacentral:rRNA from 1 species